rnacentral:rRNA from 1 species
AUUGAACGCUGGCGGCAGGCCUAACACAUGCAAGUCGAGCGGUAACAGAUUGAUAGCUUGCUAUCAAUGCUGACGAGCGGCGGACGGGUGAGUAAUGCCUGGGAAUAUACCCUGAUGUGGGGGAUAACUAUUGGAAACGAUAGCUAAUACCGCAUAAUCUCUUGUCUUUUACGAGAUGGGAGCAAAGAGGGGGACCUUCGGGCCUCUCGCGUCAGGAUUAGCCCAGGUGGGAUUAGCUAGUUGGUGGGGUAAUGGCUCACCAAGGCGACGAUCCCUAGCUGGUCUGAGAGGAUGAUCAGCCACACUGGAACGGAGACACGGUCCAGACUCCUACGGGAGGCAGCAGUGGGGAAUAUUGCACAAUGGGGGAAACCCUGAUGCAGCCAUGCCGCGUGUAUGAAGAAGGCCUUCGGGUUGUAAAGUACUUUCAGUUGUGAGGAAGGCGUUGGAGUUAAUAGCUUCAGCGCUUGACGUUAGCAACAGAAGAAGCACCGGCUAACUCCGUG